rnacentral:tRNA from 1 species
GGUUCCUUAGCUCAGUUGGUUCAGAGCAUCUCGUUUACACCGAGAGGGUCGCUGGUUCGAGUCCAGCAGGAACUA